UAGGACAUAGCAAAUGGAGCAGGAAG
rnacentral:piRNA from 1 species